rnacentral:lncRNA from 1 species
UCACCUGAUUUUUCACUAAGUCACCAUUUCUUCACACUUAGCUAUUUUUCCUCAUUCUUUAGUAUUUCUUUUUCAUUUUUUCUCCUCUUUAACUUUUUUUAUCCGUUUCUUCAAUCGAAUUCAUACACUGAUGGAGUGUCAUCAAUAAUUGACUUAUAAUUCAUCAACUCAGAUAUCUUCAGCAACUCAAGUUCAUACUUCAGUUGGUACACAAUGAUUCUCUUCUCAGUGUAACAUCUU